rnacentral:rRNA from 1 species
UACAGAGGGUGCGAGCGUUAAUCGGAAUUACUGGGCGUAAAGCGUGCGUAGACGGUUAUUUAAGUCGGGUGUGAAAGCCCCGGGCUCAACCUGGGAAUUGCAUUCGAGACUGAAUAGCUAGGGUACGGUAGAGGGAAGUGGAAUUUCCGGUGUAGCGGUGAAAUGCGUAGAUAUCUGAAGGAACAUCAGUGGCGAAAGCGACUUCCUGGACCAAUACUGACGCUCAUGUGCGAAAGCGUGGGGAGCAAACAGG